UACGUAGGGUGCGAGCGUUAAUCGGAAUUACUGGGCGUAAAGUGUGCGCAGGCGGCCGAGCAAGUCGAGUGUGAAAGCCCCGAGCUUAACUUGGGAACUGCGCUCGAAACUACUUGGCUAGAGUGUGGCAGAGGGAGGUGGAAUUCCACGUGUAGCGGUGAAAUGCGUAGAGAUGUGGAGGAACACCGAUGGCGAAGGCAGCCCUCGGUGGCAAGAUUGACGCUCAUGCACGAAAGCGUGGGGAGCAAACAGGA
rnacentral:rRNA from 1 species